rnacentral:lncRNA from 1 species
UCUUUUCGAGCAGUUUAUUGGCUUUUCUCCACUUGUGGAACUUACCAAACAAGACCUCCAUAUCUUCAAGGGUUCUGCCUUGUGUUUCCGGGAGCAUCGUAAAAAAGAAGAUCCAACCAACAGUGCCGAUGGCCGCAUAAAGAAAGAAGGUACCACCCAUUGUGAUGGCCUUAUACAACGAAAUGAAGGUCAUUGAGAGGAUGCCACUCAUCAACCUAUUCACGGCCACUCCCAUACCACACCCUUGAGCCCGCAGCCUCAACGGGAAGAUCUCAGAGCUGUACACCCAGGCAAUGGGCCCAAUCCCACUUGAGAAGAACCCGACAUAGGCUAAUACGCAGCACAAGCACAAAAUAACUGCCCACGUCAUUCUAACCCCUUCGUGUUGAUCAACAAUGGUAAGGCUUGUACCAAGACACACCAGGGCACCUACC